rnacentral:rRNA from 1 species
UACAGAGGUCUCAAGCGUUGUUCGGAUUCAUUGGGCGUAAAGGGUGCGUAGGCGGCGCGGUAAGUCGGGUGUGAAAUCUCGGAGCUUAACUCCGAAACUGCAUUCGAUACUGCCGUGCUUGAGGACUGGAGAGGAGACUGGAAUUUACGGUGUAGCGGUGAAAUGCGUAGAUAUCGUAAGGAAGACCAGUGGCGAAGGCGGGUCUCUGGACAGUUCCUGACAGCUGAGGCACG